CACCCCUGCUUCUCUGGGUUUGGAGGAGCAAAGCAUCUGACUCUCUGCAAACUGCACUUCCUAAGAUGUCUGCCUUCUCCCCUCUGAGCAGCAUCGUACUCCUUGAUGAGAGAGCCAGAUCCUACAGCUAGAGGAGACAGAAAGAAGCCAAAGCAACAUUCACGCUGGGCCCAGUGGAUACCCCUUUAAAAGCCAUCAAUGCUUUGCGGUGGAGAGCGGAGGGCGGAGAGGGAUGGUGGAGCAGCCCCUUCAGGAGCUACUGAACCUGUGGGGAAGCCAGCCACCAUGUUAAGAGCUGCUCUAUGGAGAGGCCCACAUGGAGAAGAAAUGAGGGGAGUUGCUAGCAGAAAACCCAGGAGGAACUGAAGUCACCAACAAUCACCUAAGUGAACUUAUCCUUCAGCCCUAAAAUGCUACAGCUCUGACCAGCAGUUUGACUAUAACUUUAUGAGACCCCAACCAGAACCAUGCAGCCAACCUACUCUCAUAUUCCUGACCCUUGAAAACUCUAAGAUAAUAAAUGUUUGUUGUCUAGAGCUGCAAAGUUUUUAGGAUAAUUAGCUAUGCAGCAAUAGACAACAUAGUGAACAUUAAAUAGGUCAAUGAGAAAGCAAAUUACCCACCAAAAUUACUGUGUCUACAUGCCUUCCUAAAACAUGCUAUGCAAUAAAUCUC